GAUGCUUUUUAGUCUGCUAUCUAUGGGUGCUACUCUUUCCCCUGUGGUCCCACCCUGCUACCAAAACAGGUGAAGAAUAUUUCUUAACAUCACAAAUGGAAACCAUCUUGGAGAGCUACAAAUACCUGGAAUUUCGAGAACGUAGAUGAGUUUAAAAUAGAUGUGGUCACACAUACAUUAAGCCUAAAGCGCAACUAAUGUUAGUGAACCCCACUUUCGCGGUAGGAAGGCUUUUUGUGUGCAGACAAGUCCUUCUUUUGAAUUUAUGAGGCCACAAAAAUGAGUCCCGCAAUGUGCAUGUGGCCUUUAACAAUGAAAGCAGAGUGACUGGGAUAGUGACAAGUAUCUGUAAUCCCAGGAUUGCAAGGGUUGAAAUGGGAGGGUCACAGGCUCACUAGUGGAGACUAAAAGCAUGGGAAUGCUUUAACAAGGAAAGGGAAGAUGAGAAUCCAUCUGUAGCAGCCCAUAAUUUGGAGAAACACAUUAUACCUGCUUUUCAAAAUUCAAACCAACAUGCAGAAGAAUUUUAAAAGUGUGAAAAUUUAAGGUUCACUUUAUACUCUGCAAUUUAAAACAUGAGGCAUAUUGGCGAAAUGUUUCUUUACCUUAGUUUGCAAUAUUCCUGUUUCCAACUAUACUGUUCUAAGUAUAAUUAUAAUUACUUAAUUAUUCUGCUC
rnacentral:lncRNA from 1 species